UGCGCAGGCGGGCUUGUAAGUCAGUGGUGAAAUACUGCCGCUUAACGGUAGAAUUGCCAUUGAUACUGCAGGUCUUGAAUAUAGUUGAGGUAGGCGGAAUGUGUUGUGUAGCGGUGAAAUGCAUAGAUAUGACACAGAACACCGAUUGCGGAGGCAGCUUACUAAGCUGUGAUUGACGCUGAGGCACGAAAGCGUGGGGAGCGAACA
rnacentral:rRNA from 1 species